GCGGCUAUGGCGGAAUUGGUAGACGCACCUGGUUUAGGUCCAGACGCCGCAAGGCGUGGGGGUUCGAGUCCCUCUAGCCGCACCA
rnacentral:tRNA from 2 species